rnacentral:tRNA from 1 species
GCCUGGGUGGCUCAGUCGGUUGAGCAUCUGACUUCAGCUCAGGUCAUGAUCUCUCAGUUCGUGAGUUCAAGCUCACAUCAGGCU